UUUUGGACAAUGGGCGCAAGCCUGAUCCAGCAAUGCCGCGUGAGUGAAGAAGGCCUUCGGGUUGUAAAGCUCUUUUGUCAGGGAAGAAACGGUGAGCUCUAAUACAGUCUGCUAAUGACGGUACCUGAAGAAUAAGCACCGGCUAACUACGUGCCAGCAGCCGCGGUAAUACGUAGGGUGCAAGCGUUAAUCCGAAUUACUGGGCGUAAAGCGUGCGCAGGCGGUUAUGUAAGUCAGAUGUGAAAUCCCCGGGCUCAACCUGGGAAUGGCAUUUGAGACUGCAUGGCUAGAGUGUGUCAGAGGGGGGUAGAAUUCCACGUGUAGCAGUGAAAUGCGUAGAGAUGUGGAGGAAUACCGAUGGCGAAGGCAGCCCCCUGGAUAACACUGACGCUCAUCACGCA
rnacentral:rRNA from 1 species